UGCCCCAUGGCUGAGUUGGUUACAGCGUCCGACUGUUAUGAUGUCUUGUGACAAAGUACGGAAUCGGAAGGUCGUGAGUUCGAGCCUCACUGGGGCAG